rnacentral:rRNA from 1 species
GAACGUAGCGAAAUGCGAUACUUGGUGUGAAUUGCAGAAUCCCGUGAACCAUCGAGUCUUUGAACGCAAGUUGCGCCCGAUGUCUUCWGGCUGAGGGCACGUCUGUUUGGGCGUCACGCAUCUCGUCAACCMCUCUCACGUCGUCUUCUUCACCACUCAAAR